GUGAAGGGGGGAGAAGUGUCCGCGCCAUUGGUGCGAGCGCGAGCGAAACGGAGCGAGGGUCGGAGCUCCCCACUCCCGCGACGGCGCGGCGCUUCGUGUGUAGUCGCAGUCGCCUUUCACGGGUACGGUCGGGUUGGUCGGUCGGUCGGUCGGUCGGUCGGUCGUUCGGUCGGUCGGUCGCCCGAGCGGGGCUUGGAACAACAUACACGUUCGCGAACGCGUUUUUCGUCCGAGUCGCUCCGGGAAUUACGUCGUCGUCGCAUCGGUGGAGUCCCUCUCGAAGCCCGCACGAGAGAGAAACGUCCUCUGCUUCGAAGGCUGGUGCGCGCGCGUAGCCGCCGCGCGAGUCCCUGGCAUGGAGUGAUCUGCUUGCCGCCGUGACUCAUCCCACGCAGCACAAUCGGCCCAGGAUUCUUCGAGGAUGACGGGCAGACACGCGGAACGAAUUGUCGCCGCUCGCGAGGAAUGCGGAAGUCGAGGAUGCCUGAGACGACCGAUGGGGUAAGUACAACGAACUGUUCGAAGAAUUCUUACACUAAAUGUAAUCUCGGUUUAAGCCGCUGCGAGAGAAUCCCAAGCCUUCAAGGGCCGAGCGAUAAUGCCUAAAACCAAAGAAUUAAGCUGGCAUGUCUGUCCUGACACAUCUCACGUCCUCUUAAAAGCAGAACAAGAAUAUAAGGUUGAUCUAAAGCUAUUUAUAAUUAUAACUUCGGCUCGAUUUUUGCUUCUUUUUUUGUAUAAUUCUAAAAU
rnacentral:lncRNA from 1 species